GUGAGGAAUAUUGGACAAUGGGCGCAAGCCUGAUCCAGCCAUGCCGCGUGCAGGAAGACGGUCCUAUGGAUUGUAAACUGCUUUUAUACAGGAAGAAACACCUCUACGUGUAGAGACUUGACGGUACUGUAUGAAUAAGCAUCGGCUAACUCCGUGCCAGCAGCCGCGGUAAUACGGAGGAUGCAAGCGUUAUCCGGAAUCAUUGGGUUUAAAGGGUCCGUAGGCGGCCAAAUAAGUCAGUGGUGAAAGCCCAUCGCUCAACGAUGGAACGGCCAUUGAUACUGUUUGGCUUGAAUUAUUAGGAAGUAACUAGAAUAUGUAGUGUAGCGGUGAAAUGCUUAGAGAUUACAUGGAAUACCAAUUGCGAAGGCAGGUUACUACUAAUAUAUUGACGCUGAUGGACGAAAGCGUGGGGAGCGAACAGGAUUAGAUACCCCCGUAGUCCG
rnacentral:rRNA from 1 species